rnacentral:lncRNA from 1 species
ACUCACAUGGCAGUUGGCACUUGUUAGGAUGUAUAGUUGACACCUUUAACACUACUACUGUUUAUCAAUCCUUUUCCUUAGCUCAUCAUACACUGAUAAAUAUUUCCUCCAUUCCAAAAUAACAGUCAAACAUCCCCUUCUGUGUGUCACAGAAUAAGAGUUUUCCUUUCUAAAAUAGGCUAAAAAGUGAUAUGGUGAUCAAGAUUUUUCGUUAAUGAUAAAAUGCUUAAACCUAGCUUUCAUCUAAUACCAA